GCCUUCGUGGUAUAAUGGUCAACACACUCGGCGCGUAAUCGGGAGGUCGGAGGUUCGUGUCCCAGUGAGGGCA
rnacentral:tRNA from 1 species